rnacentral:rRNA from 1 species
GGGUUAGGGGUAGCCGCGCGUAGGCGGUUUCUUAGUCUGAUGUGAAAGCCCACGGCUCAACCGUGGAGGGUCAUUGGAAACUGGGAAACUUGAGUGCAGAAGAGGAAAGUGGAAUUCCAUGUGUAGCGGUGAAAUGCGCAGAGAUAUGGAGGAACACCAGUGGCGAAGGCGACUUUCUGGUCUGUAACUGACGCUGAUGUGCGAAAAG